rnacentral:rRNA from 1 species
AGAACGAACGCUGGCGGCAUGCCUAACACAUGCAAGUCGAACGAGAUCCUUCGGGGUCUAGUGGCGCACGGGUGCGUAACGCGUGGGAAUCUGCCCUUAGGUACGGAAUAACUCAGGGAAACUUGUGCUAAUACCGUAUGAUGUCUUCGGACCAAAGAUUUAUCGCCUAGGGAUGAGCCCGCGUAGGAUUAGCUAGUUGGUGGGGUAAAGGCCUACCAAGGCGACGAUCCUUAGCUGGUCUGAGAGGAUGAUCAGCCACACUGGGACUGAGACACGGCCCAGACUCCUACGGGAGGCAGCAGUGGGGAAUAUUGGACAAUGGGCGAAAGCCUGAUCCAGCAAUGCCGCGUGAGUGAAGAAGGCCUUCGGGUUGUAAAGCUCUUUUACCCGGGAAGAUAAUGACUGUACCGGGAGAAUAAGCCCCGGCUAACUCCGCGCCAGCAGCCGC